rnacentral:lncRNA from 1 species
CUUAGGCCUGCCCCAACCCUCUCUGAGCUCUGUGAAUUUAUGUGGUUAACAAAGGAAAAACAACUUCCUGAGCUGCCUGUUUUUGAUAACCCCCCAACACAACUCCAUGUCUA